CAGCAUACAAAAGAAACUUGCCUUAAACCCUCCUUCUUCCUCAUCCACCACAUGUGCCUUUCUCUUUUAGAUGUAUGCAACCAUGGCCUUCUUUAACACCACCCUCUUCCUCUUCCUCCUCUUCUCGCUCUCCCUCCUUCUCCCUCUCCCCUCUGUCUCCUCCCCACUUUCUCUCUCCUCCUCCUCCUCCUCCUCCAUUCACGACCUGCUUCGCUCCAAGGGCUUGCCGGCCGGACUCUUGCCCGAUGAGGUCAAGUCCUACACGUUGUCCGAAAACGGCCGAUUGGAGGUUUUCCUCAACGGGCCUUGCUUGACGAAAUACGAGACCAGAGUGUUCUUUGACAGCGUCGUCAGAGCCAAUCUCACGUACGGCAGUCUCAUUGGAGUUGAAGGUCUGUCUCAGGAAGAGCUAUUUCUAUGGCUUCCCGUUAAGGAUAUAAUCGUCGAUGACCCUAAAUCUGGCUUGAUACUGUUCGACAUUGGAGUCGCUCACAAGCAACUCUCCCUCUCUCUCUUCGAAGAUCCGCCUCACUGCAAGCCCCAAGGUGGUUUGAAAUUGAUGAAGCAUGUGAGGAAGGAGAAAGGAUUCGAGGCUGUGAGAUAAAAACAAAUAAGAAAAACAGAAGAUGCCGCCCUGUUUUGAAUAGGACUUCCUUACUAUUGUCUCUUGUUCUGUCAUGUUUAUAUAUAUGUAAAAUAUAAUUAAUAUAAUUAAUAUAUAUAUAUAUAUAUAUAUGCAAUUAUAGUCAUAAGAGUAGGUGUUGCUAGAGGUAGAGGUGUUUGCUUGGUGAGAGAGAGAGGGAGAGAUGAUUGUAAAGAAAUUAAGAAUUUGGGGGGAGGAUGAAGGACCAGCUGGGGAUUGAAUCUGCUUUGUCAUUAUCAAAAUUGUUCCAAAGCAAAGGAUCAAAAUCCAAGUGGGUUAUGGAUAGAAUUGGAAGAAGAUGAGUUGGCUGUUCCCUUCUUAUAUUUUCCCCGUUUCUUUUUGACCUUGUUCUAUAAAAAGACUCUGUGAUGCUUGGAAGAAUAAACGGAAAGUAAAUCACUAAAAAUUGGUAGCCUUGUUGAUUUCAAAGGCAUCCAAUUUUUCUUUUACA